UCGUUUUUGAGUGGCUGAAAAUGUGGAAGGAUGUGUGUGCGAUGGUGAGCGUGGAGCUGAGCUUGUCUGUCGUCAACAUACUGCUCAAGAAGGCCAUGAACGGAGGCCUGGGCCACGUCAUCAUCGUCCUGUACCGGCAAUCCGUCGCCACCGUCUUCUUGAUCCCCUUCGCCUUCUUCCGUGAAAGGAGUAGCUGGACCAAGCUGACUGCGAGUAUGAUUUGUCAAAUAUUUCUCUGCGCUUUGUUAGGGUUGACACUCACUCAAUAUCUCUUCUUGGUGGGGCUAGAUUACACAUCAGCAACAUUCACUUGUGCUUUCAUAAACAUAGUUCCAGUUGUCACAUUUCUACUUGCAUUGCCACUCAGGAUGGAGAGGGUCGACAUAAAGAGGAGCAGUGGCAAGGCUAAGGUGGCGGGCACGGUGGUCUGCGUCCUGGGAGCAUUGUUGCUCUCGCUCUACAAGGGCGAGCCAAUCAUCAUCAACCCCCAACACGGUGUGGUGGGCGAUCCCCGGGUUGUUAGGGCAAAGAAGUUCGGCCUGGGUGCAGCAUUUCUUGGUGUGGGAAGUGUGGCUUGGUCGUCGUGGUUCCUUAUGCAGUCGAGGAUCGGGCAGUACUUCCCGCAUCGUUACUCGAGCACGUUGAUCAUGUCAUCGUUCAGCUCGUUCCAGUCCGCGUUGCUGUGCUUGAUCACGGAGAGGGAUUUUUCCAAGUGGAUUGUUCGAGGGGGGCUAGACACUCUUACUGUUUUGUUUAGUGGAAUUGUGGGAUCAGGGCUAUGUUAUGUGGUGAUGUCUUGGUGUGUGAAGCGGCGUGGCCCGGUUUUUACCGCCGCGUUUAGCCCUUUGAUUCAGGUUUUCGCGGCCGUUUUGGAUGUUUUGGUGCUGCGUGAAGAGAUUUACCUUGGGAGAUUUCAAGAGAAAAAUUAGUAGUUUUGGACAUAUUGUUACGUGGUGUGCCAACCAAUUACAGUUGCACGGAGAGAGAAAAAAAACGUUUUGGGAUCGAUUGUGGUAGUCGUGGGAAUGUAUGUUCUGCUGUGGGGGAAAAGCAAAGAUGUUCGAGAAGCUCUUCCUAAAACAGUAGAUGAACCACAUCACCAAGAAAUUGCCAAUUAGUCACAUUUAUUUCACAAUUUAGGUUGUAUUUUCAACUAUUUGACAUAUGUUAAUGAUAAGUUUAUCUGGAAAAUAA